CCCUCAAGAACUCAAAGGUUUUGUGAGGCCCUUCCAGGAUGUGCUACAAAGCAGAAGAUGCCGGGGCUGCAAGACUUGAUGUGUUUUCAGUGAUAGAUCCUCCCUUCCCCCAACUGAUGGACGGAGUAUGACGUAACCUGCACCUGCGGCCUGGACAUU